UACGUAGGGCGCAAGCGUUGUCCGGAAUUAUUGGGCGUAAAGAGCUCGUAGGCGGUUUGUCGCGUCUGCUGUGAAAUCCCGAGGCUCAACCUCGGGCUUGCAGUGGGUACGGGCAGACUAGAGUGCGGUAGGGGAGACUGGAAUUCCUGGUGUAGCGGUGAAAUGCGCAGAUAUCAGGAGGAACACCGGUGGCGAAGGCGGGGUCUCCUGGGCCGAAAUUGAACGC
rnacentral:rRNA from 1 species